UGACAGUGACAGGGACUGGGAACCUGGGAGCUUCUCAGCAUCUCCUUCUCACACUCUGCCUCUGAGCAGCUGGGAAUCCUUACCCCUCCAAUCUCCUGACUGCUCAUCUCCCUGGAGCCAGGACCCUGAAUCAGUAUUCACGGCCUGUUAGUGGCUUGCAAGGCAGAGCAGACAGAUGGACGUGCUCGGGAAGCCUAUUGAUCAGCCCUUGGUGUGACCUGCCCAGACCUGGUUCUGUUUCAAGCACUGAUCACGUGGACAAGGAGUCCUUAAUUCCUCUCAGCACCGUUUGAGAUGAGCAACUACACAAGACAAAGACGAAAGGCUUUUUCAGCUCAAAAAUCCUGUGAUUCUUUGAUUCUAAGAAGAGAUUUUCUUACAAGGAGUUUGCCUAAGUGUCCACACGGCUUGUGUCUCCUCCCAGCAGCCGGCCUGCUGGUGUGUGUGCUGUGUGUGGAGCGUGGCCUUAGGCCUGUGUUGUGAGUGAUGUCUGCAGAGCAUGGGGUUGAUUUGGAAGAAGGUGUGAUCCGAAGUUGUGUUUGACCUGAGCUCCUGUCACCCCUGAAGGCAGCAGAGGAUCUCCUGUCAGUGACCCAGGAGGACAGCUUUCUGAAGGACAUUCUGCCCAUUACACAGAGGGGCUUUCGUGAUUGGUUUGCCCAGAUAUGACUUUUUU
rnacentral:lncRNA from 1 species